GGUCGCGGCGUUUCCGGUUGCUGUGCCGGUAGGCGCGGGGCUGCGGCCGCUGGCCUCUCUCGGGCCCCUGACCGCAGACCCGCCAGCUCCCUGACGGGGUCCUUCUGGACUUGUCUGCUUCCUCGGGUCCCCGCAAAGGCUUCAUGGUCCGAAGCUCCGGUUCGCUGGGACCGACCUGGGCUGACCCAAGGCCGCGCCACUCAGUAAAGGAGGGCGUAGCGAGAGGCCAGAGCCACCACGGGCUCCGGCCCCAGCAUCCCUCCUCCCGCACCCUGCCCUGCCCAGCUGUGUGCUCCACGGUGGGCGAGGGACCUCGGUCUCGGCCGCGUGCGUGCUGUGCUGGAGCCCCACCAAGUGGCACUACUUGACCUCCAGGAUGGACGGGUUGGUCUCCAUGAUGGCCACGAUGAUCCUGUCGAUGUAGUCCUGCAGGCGGAAGUUGAUCUCCUCCUGCUUCUGGAUGGCGUCCAUGAGCUGUGGGAGGAGCCAGGGGUCGGUGCCAGGCUGCGGUUGUCCUGGGGGACACGGGGCGUCACUCCUGGGCCGAGGCAGGACCACCAGCUCCGGCACCGGCCCCCGGAAGCGUGAGCCCAGCCCAUACCUGCUUCAGCCUCCGGACCUCCUGCUCCAGCUCACUCUCCCGCGUGCGGCUGUUGUACUCCUGCAGGCCUGCGCUGCUGCUGCGGCCCCUCCUCUGCUCAGCCUCCAGCUUGAAGAGCUGCAGAUGCUCCAGCUGCUUGCGCAGGUCCUCGAUCAGCUGCAGCAGCGGGGGUUGUCUCAGCUUGGCUUCAGGACCUCUGGGGCGGUCUGAAUGCCAAUGGGGGGGGGGACCUCGGGGCUCUGUGCUCACCUCCUGGGUCGCCUCCUUGUCCCUCUGGAACUGGUGCCUCUCGUGGCUCAGCCUGUCCCCCAGCUUCCUCCUGUUCUCCUGUUCCUCACUGAGCCGCAGCGACAGCUCCUCAAUCUCAUCCAGCAGCUUCUGCUUCUCCUGCGAGAACGAAACAGUUGCCGGAGACAUGCCUGUCUGCCGCCCGUCCAUGCAGCUCUCCUCAGCUGUCUGCACCCGACACGUGGCAGGUGGGCCUGCGAGGCGCCUGGGAUGGUUUCUGGGAGGAGGCCAGAGCCCAAGUGCUCUCAGAUGUCCUCAGGGUGCAGAGUUGCCCAGGGGUCCCUGGGUGGGGAGGGGACCACGGGGCACAGGGGGUCAAGCUGAAGUCAGCCCCUCAAGGACAUCAUCCUAGAUUCAAACCAGGGGUUAAUCUAUGCGUGACUCUCCAGGCCCAAGGAUGCCGGGAAGCCGGGCAGGGUCGCGCAUCUUCCAGCAAAGGGACGGCCAGGCCCAGCGUGUCCUGGCUCCCUCACCCCCGGGGCCGCAGGGCCCGGUGUCACCAGCCUACUCUCGAGCAGCACAGCUCCCUGGCCUGCAGGCGCACCCCUUGGCCGGCCACACCCCCGCAGGCCCAUCGGCCAACAGUGCGGCUGCCCUGCUUUGGAGAACCUGUCUCAGGUCCCGAUGGCCCACAGGCACCCGGGGCGGAGGCUGCCGGCAGCUCACCUCCUCCAGGCGCUCGAUGCUGGCCUUCAGGCAGGGUGUGCAGGACCUCAGCUCACUGUUCUCCUCGUCCAGCUGCUGCAGCCUGGGGCACAAGAACAAGGCUGGGACCCGCGGAGCUGUCCCCCGACCGCCACACGCACCCACACGAGGGUCCUGGGCCAAAGCUUCUCGUAAGCCAGGAUGGUGUCUCCACACACCUCCGGUUUACAGAGAAGCUGCAGACACAGAGCGAGUCCCACGGACCCUGAGCCCCUUUCGGCUUCUCCAGGCAUCUGCUCAGCAUCGUGGCGUUCAUCACACCCACACUGGAAACGCGAAUGACCAACCCAUGGACUCAACACAGCUUUCCCACCAGCGCCCCUUCCCGUCUGGGGUCCCCGCACCGCAUUAGCCGUAAUGGCUCCUCUGUCCCCUCUGGUCUGCAGCAGCCUCUGGACUUCCCUGGCUCUUCAUGACCUUGACAGUUCUGAGCAGGUCUGGUCAUGUAUUUGGUAAAAUGUCCCUCAGAUUGGGCUUGUCUGGUGUCUUCUCAUGACUGGAAAGGUUGUGGGUUUGGGGAGAAUCCCACAGAGGAGAGGUACCCUUUGCAUCACGGGUGAUGUUGACCUGGAUUGCCUGGUUGGGGUGUGUCUGCCAGGUGUCUCCUCUGUCGAGUUCUCCUUCUCCUGUCCCUUCUCUGUCGUCUGGAGGCCAGUCACGGGGUCCAGUCCACGCUCCAGGGACCCCCGAGCGGGCAUGUCUGUGUGUUAUUUGGUCUCCUCUGCAGGAGUCCACGUUGGGUUACACUCUGGAUGGCGGUUCCUGCCGUGCCCCAGCUAUGCCCACUGGGAGCCAUGACACACCGUCGUCUGUGUGUGCUUCUGUUCAAGCGCCUCCCCGCUUCCUGGCACUCCAGGCUCUGCCAGUUUUCCUCUGUGCCAGCCACAGACCCAGCCCUUCUCCAAGAAGCCCCAGUUCCUUCCAUGGCCCCGCUGUCCUCACCCCGCCAAGAACCCCAGGGAGCUGAGGGAGGCCAUCAGGGUCCAGGCACAUGGAGCUGCUAACUGAGGUGCAAAGAGCAGGCAGUGGUGACCCCGAGUCCCAUCUCGCUCUGUGAGGGCCUCAUGAGGCCCUGUCCACCUCGGGCCCCUGCAUAUGCUGUCCCACUCAGCCAGCAGGAUGUCCCACUUGGCCAGCAGGAUGCCCCCUGCCGUGCAGGCUCUGGUGCUGGCAGACACGGGAGGCAGGACGGCCCGCCCCUAGGCACCCACAGCCCGGUGGACAGGGCCCCACGGAGAGGCUGUGGCCCGCGGGUCCACUGGACGGCACUGUGCCGAGGCCCAGGAAGAAGGCCUUCCCGGGAGGUGACACCGCAGGCCUGCCCCCGGGGAGGCCUCCCGUCCAGGGAGACCCCAGCACAGCUCUGUGUGCAGCCCCUCCUGCCACCUCCCACUGUUGAAAAUGUGUCAAAAUUUA